AUCAACCGGAACGCAGGAAGCGCUUCGGAGGUAACGGAUGACCACCAUGGCCCGGAUGGCUACCGACAGGAUGUUGGAAUGGUAAUGAUGAAAAAGUAACCCGCUUCGGCGGGUUUUUU
rnacentral:sRNA from 1 species